UUAAAGAAAUGGCUUGGAUGCACAUGGUACUUUUAAUAGUGCCGCUUAUUUUUCUGUUCCUUCAUAAAGGAACAUAUGCGGUCACAGAGGUGGAGGCAAGAAUUGACCGUGCCCAAUGUGACAGGCGCAUCGUCCGUCAAUGCCGUUAUCGUGCUGCCUGCAGUUGCAGACCCCGAUUACGCUUAGGCGAGGCAUUCUACAACGUAUACUACUAUGACAUAUAUAGAAAUUGGUGCAGACCUAACGGCGAGACUUUCAACUGCAAUGGAUUUGAUUCCAUGCUGCAGUGCCUGAUAACCUGCCAAGCUCCAGCCGCAGCGCGUUAGCUGCUUCUCAGAGUGAAGUGCACUGAAAUAUUAGCAGUAAU